rnacentral:rRNA from 1 species
CGAAAGCCUGACGGAGCAAUACCGCGUGAGGGAGGAAGGCUUUUGGGUUGUAAACCUCUUUUGUUAAGGAAGAAGAAAGUGACGGUACUUAACGAAUCAGCAUCGGCUAACUCCGUGCCAGCAGCCGCGGUAAUACGGAGGAUGCAAGCGUUAUCCGGAAUCAUUGGGCGUAAAGCGUCCGCAGGUGGUUAUUCAAGUCUGCUGUUAAAGACAGAAGCUUAACUUCUGAAAGGCAGUGGAAGCUGGAGAGCUAGAGUACGGUAGGGGUUGAGGGAAUUCCCAGUGUAGCGGUGAAAUGCGUAGAUAUUGGGAAGAACACCAGUGGCGAAAGCGCUCUACUGGACUGCAACUGACACUCAGGGACGAAAGCCAGGGGAGCG